UCGCACUAUUGGUUAGAGCCUGUAAGUAUGCAUUUCACUGUAAGGUCUACCUACACCUGUUGUUUUCGGCGCACGUGACAAAUAAACUUUGAUUUGAUUUGCUGCUAUCCUCAGACUGCACCCCAACAAGCUGCAGGUCCUCGGUAAUGUUGCCCUCCAUUUAAAAUGUUUAAAUUGUGUCACCCCAAAUUCAACUAAUCAACAAUAACGUCGUAAAUCUGUUUGUGCUGUUGCCAACUUCUUUUGUCCUUGUUCAUUCGCUGUCUGGCAGAUUUAGACUAGGCAAAACCAGUGAUUAUUUUUAUUGAGUGUGGUAUUCCUGGGCUAAAACUAAAUGUGUACACUGUCGUGUUGCCCCUGGAAUGAUUGUGAAGUAGACCAAAUUAUCUACCCCCACAAAAUAGUUUGAGAAAGUCAUCUGUGUGUUACCAUGUCCUGUAGGUGACUGCUGGUCCGCAUUGAAGCGCUCUCUCAUGCCCAAGCACAUUGGGGUGUGGAAGAAGGCCCUGUCUGUGAUUUUGACAAGGAAACAUAUUCUACGCACCUGUGACCCAAGGAUCAAACACCACACAAUUUUUCCCCCCGAUGUUCACAACAUGGACAGCUAUUUAUUUAUGAUACACAUUUAAUUGCACAUUUCCAUUCAGUGUGCAAUUAAUGAAGUAGCUGUCUAACCCCGGGGUCUCAAGUGAAGCUGGGCGCCAUUUCACAGGAACAACUGCCUUAUAGUCGCACGCAGCUAGCUGUUAGGAUGUUACUCCAUCUCCUCUUUUCCGUGGAUGGAUUCCAAUAGCUCGUAAGAUAGCUUUAGGCUCUGUGGCUGCUCACAGCCUUGAUCUCUCUAGCCUCCAGACCUGCAUCAGAGAGCUGCUGGAUGUUAGUCGUCUUGAUGCAGUGGUUGGUAUACCUACGGGAUGUGCCGGCCUCCUAGAGAGAGAGAGCGAGCAAUUAAUAAUAGCAAUAUGACAAUGAUUCUAUUAAUGUUUAUUCUAUUCAUAUAACUGUAUAGCAGCCUAGCUAUUUGAACAAAAUGGUAUACCUUGCACAGACAGGGCAGCAUUGAUGAAAGGAUGUUGAGUCCCAUUGGCUCUGUGGUAUACCACAACGUUGUCGUUGGAUAGCUUUCGUCUGGUUAACAAUGGGAAUUCCAAACCACCCGCUUCAUAACACUAUAUAUGGCGGAAAUGUCACCUAUCAAAGGGCAAGAUGGAGCCUAUUAGACAAGUGUCCUGGGGUUGAUUUGGGAUUCAUGGUGAACAUGUUCUGCAACCUGGCUAAAAUGUUUUGAUGCAUUGAUUUGAAAAGUAGUUUGAAUGGUGUCAAGUGUCUAUUGCUUCACCAUUUAUUAAUUGAGGGCAUUUCCCCCCUAGAACACUGUGUAUGAAGGAGAGUACCAUGCUGGGCAUCCCAACAUCGUCACAUUCUGGGAGGUGUUUGAGGAACUGACAGAGGAUCAAAAGAAAGCGUUCCUGUUGUUCCUGACUGGCUGUGAUCGUGUGCCCAUCCUGGGUAUGAACCAGAUCAGGAUGAGGGUCCAAACCCUUCUCAACUCCUCCCAACAGCAUUUCCCAGAGGCGCUGACCAACACUCUCUGUUGCAGCUGCCCAUCUACCCCUCCAAAGAGACACUACAGAGCAGGCUUAUAGAAGCUGUUGGCCACAACAGAGGCUUCUGGAAUGAAUAAUGGGUGUAUAGUGUUGCUGCUGUGUAUAGUCCUCUCCUGUGUUCAUCUUUUCAUUGUUCCAUAGUUGGGUUUAAGAUUUGGAUUGUUUUAAUGUAGGGUUGUAUUUCAAAUCCUAACUUGAGAUCUGUGCGGUACUAUGACAUUAUCAUAUUGCAUUCACAAUUUUAUUAAAACAUUUAUAAAUCAAAAA